rnacentral:rRNA from 1 species
UACGUAGGGGGCAAGCGUUGUCCGGAUUUAUUGGGCGUAAAGAGCGUGUAGGCGGUUUGGUGGGUCCGCUGUGAAAACUCGAGGCUCAACCCUCGAGACGCCGGUGGAAACCAUCAGACUAGAGUCCGGUAGGGGAGCGUGGAAUUCCUGGUGUAGCGGUGAAAUGCGCAGAUAUCAGGAGGAACACCAGCGGCGAAGGCGGCGCUCUGGGCCGGUACUGACACUGAGGAGCGAAAGCGUGGGUAGCAAACAGG